rnacentral:rRNA from 1 species
UAGGGAAUAUUGCAAAAUGGGCGAAAGCCCGAUGCAGCAACGCCGCGUGGGCGAUGAAGGCCUUCGGGUCGUAAAGCCCUUUUUGAGGGGAUGAGGAAGGACAGUACCCUCAGAAUAAGCCUCGGCUAACUACGUGCCAGCAGCCGCGGUAAAACGUAGGAGGCGAGCGUUAUCCGGAUUUACUGGGCGUAAAGCGCGUGCAGGCGGAUUGGGGAGUUGGAUGUGAAAGCUCCCGGCUUAACUGGGAGAGGUCGUUCAAUACUUCCAGUCUUGAGUGCAGUAGAGGGUAGUGGAAUUCCGGGUGUAGUGGUGAAAUGCGUAGAUAUCCGGAGGAACACCAGUGGCGAAAGCGGCUUCCUGGACUGUAACUGACGCUCAGACGCGAAAGCUAGGGUAGCAAACG